rnacentral:rRNA from 1 species
GAUGAACGCUGGCGGCGUGCCUAAUACAUGCAAGUCGAGCGAACAGACGAGGAGCUUGCUCCUCUGACGUUAGCGGCGGACGGGUGAGUAACACGUGGAUAACCUACCUAUAAGACUGGGAUAACUUCGGGAAACCGGAGCUAAUACCGGAUAAUAUAUUGAACCGCAUGGUUCAAUAGUGAAAGACGGUUUUGCUGUCACUUAUAGAUGGAUCCGCGCCGCAUUAGCUAGUUGGUAAGGUAACGGCUUACCAAGGCAACGAUGCGUAGCCGACCUGAGAGGGGGAUCGGCCACACUGGAGCUGAGACACGGUCCAGACUCCUACGGGAGGCAGCAGUAGGGAAUCUUCCGCAAUGGGCGAAAGCCUGACGGAGCAACGCCGCGUGAGUGAUGAAGGUCUUCGGAUCGUAAAACUCUGUUAUUAGGGAAGAACAAAUGUGUAAGUAACUAUGCACGUCUGGACGGUACCUAAUCAGAAAGCCACGGCGAACUACGU